CCCGUUAAACAUUCGCACUUUAAUGGAUGAUGUUGAGGAGUUUGAGAAAUUUGAUACAGAGCUUAUGGAAGACUUAGGGAGUUCUUCAAGACCCACUUCUUUGGUUGGAGAUGAUUAAAUUUAAGGUUUGUUGAAUGGACUAUUGGAUUUGGUGG